GUGAGCGUAGCUCAAUGGUUAGAGCACUGGACUGUGGCUCCAGUGGUUGUGGGUUCGAGUCCCAUCGCUCACCCCA
rnacentral:tRNA from 1 species